UACGGAGGGUGCAAGCGUUAUCCGGAUUCACUGGGUUUAAAGGGUGCGUAGGUGGGUUGGUAAGUCAGUGGUGAAAUCUCCAGGCUUAACUUGGAAACUGCCAUUGAUACUAUCAAUCUUGAAUACCGUGGAGGUCAGCGGAAUAUGUCAUGUAGCGGUGAAAUGCUUAGAUAUGACAUAGAACACCAAUUGCGAAGGCAGCUGGCUACACGAAUAUUGACACUGAGGCACGAAAGCUAGGGGAGCAAACGGG
rnacentral:rRNA from 1 species